UAGUCCACGCCGUAAACGAUGGAUACUAGCUGUCCGGGGCUUUAAGUUCUGGGCGGCCAAGCGAAAGUGAUAAGUAUCCCACCUGGGGAGUACGUUCGCAAGAAUGAAACUCAAAGGAAUUGACGGGGCCCGCACAAGCGGUGGAGCAUGUGGUUUAAUUCGAUGAUACGCGAGGAACCUUACCAGGGCUUAAAUGCAUAUUGACAGGGUCAGAGAUGACUUUUCCUUCGGGCAAUUUGCAAGGUGCUGCAUGGUUGUCGUCAGCUCGUGCCGUGAGGUGUCAGGUUAAGUCCUAUAACGAGCGCAACCCUUAUCGUUAGUUGCUAGCAGGUAAAGCUGAGGACUCUAGCGAGACUGCCGGUGCAAACCGUGAGGAAGGUGGGGAUGACGUCAAAUCAUCACGGCCCUUACGUCCUGGGGCUACACACGUGCUACAAUGGUAUGGGACAAUGAGCAGCCACUAUGCGAAUAGGGAGC
rnacentral:rRNA from 1 species